GACAGAGGGUGCAAACGUUGUUCGGAAUUACUGGGCGUAAAGCGUGUGUAGGCGGCCACGUAAGUCGGAUGUGAAAGCCCCGGGCUCAACCCGGGAAGUGCACUCGAUACUGCGUGGCUUGAGUACUGGAGAGGUUGGUGGAAUUCUCGGUGUAGAGGUGAAAUGCGCAGAUAUCAGGAGGAACACCGGUGGCGAAGGCGGCUCUCUGGACCACAACUGACGCUGAGGCGCGAAAGCUAGGGGAGCAAACAGG
rnacentral:rRNA from 1 species